UUCCUUUGGUGGCGUGGAUUUCUUGCUGCAGUGCAAAGCAGGACAUAGGAUGCAGGCAACCAGAUUAGUUUUGGAUCUAAUUUUUUUUAUGCUUUGUUAUUUUAAUAAACCUAAUGUGAGUUAUUUAGUUUAAUUUACAUAAACUUGUUGUAUUCUUUUCUACAUGCUUUUUAGAUUGUCCUAAAAGCUUUGUACAAUGUUUCCAAUCAAUGCUAGCUCUUUUAAAAGAGAAUCAAGAUAUUUCUACACAAUUAAACAUCAAUAUUUCGAUAGUAAAACAUUGUAUAGGCAUGCACAUUUGCUUACUAUACCUAGGCUUCAUAAGGCUCAAGCAUAACCUCCAAUUUUGCAGGAAAAAAUACACGCUAGAUUUGUUCGGCCAUGAUUUUGAGCCUUUUCAGUUUCUUUGCCGAGAAGAGAAAAAGAAGCGAAGGAACCAAUUCAUGAAUAGGACCUGCAUAGAGCUUAUCCAUCCAUGAAGGCUGAAGCCUCUCCCUUCCACACAUUAUUUCAGCAUGUGCAUGAAUCAAUACUGAAAACGGCGGGCUUCAUCUUGCCAAACUUGAUUGAAUUUUUGUGUCGACAUUUACUUGGAUUUUAACAUUUGUUCGCCUGGGUGUUUCGACAUACACUCCGUCCUCCAGCCUGCGGAUUAUGGGCAUUUUCACCUGAACACUCAUGACCCAUGUCAAGGCUAAUGUGGCAGCAGUGACUGUGACUGCAAAAGGGUUUUUAUAUUGAUGAUUUUUGCUGCUUUGUCGCGAGGUGGAGCAGUCUUAUGUUGAUUUAAUGUGUGCGUGGUACCCCCUCCUAGAACGAGUUAGUUUAUCCUAUUUCAUGUGGUUAUCCCCUACUACAGUAAUCUCAUAUAAUAACGUGUUUAAUUAAGCUUGUUCGUAUAUAUAUACACACACACUUGCUUCAAAGUCUGAUGUAUUUGUCUUCACGUAUUCUGAUUAGUUCCUGAGAUAACCUAUUCUCUUUUUUGUUGGUAUUUCUGAAUGAGAUUCUUUUUUCAGCUGUUUAACAAAAGCAAUAUUGUAUAUUUGGAGCAGAGCUAGCAGAAUAUCUAUUACACUUUCAAAUAAAUAUAUGCAUUUUUUUUCUUCGAGUGUGUUCAUAAUAUCACAAUAUGUUCGAAAUACUAAAGUUUGUAAUUAUGAUUGUUUUGGUGAUUUUCCCAGGGAGAUACGAGGAGGGGUCCAGGCUUGUGCUGGUGCUCGGGUAGCUAGGCGCAGGGCACAAGAACCUGGAACCUGCUGUCUGUUUCAGCAGUUUGACAUCUUUUUUUUUUGAA